GUGCUCGCUUCGGCCAGAACAUAUACUAACAGUUGGAACGAUACAGAGAGAUUAGCAUGGCCCCGAGCAGAGGGACAGCACAAAUUCGAUGAAGCGUUCCAUAUUUUU
rnacentral:snRNA from 1 species